UACGUAGGUGACAAGCGUUGUCCGGAAUUAUUGGGCGUAAAGGGAGCGCAGGCGGUUGGAAUAGUCUGAUGUGAAAGCCCACGGCUUAACCGUGGAAGGUCAUUGGAAACUGUCCAACUUGAAUGCAGAAGAGGUAAGUGGAAUUCCAUGUGUAGCGGUGAAAUGCGUAGAUAUAUGGAGGAACACCAGUGGCGAAGGCGACUUACUGGUCUGUGAUUGACGCUGAGGCUCGAAAGCGUGGGUAGCGAACAGGAUUAGA
rnacentral:rRNA from 1 species